GGCAGGUGCAGGAGUGAUGACUCACAAAUCUGCAUCCCUACAUCCCUCUGACCAACCUGCUGGCAGCUCUGCCGACACAGUCUCCUCAUGGCAGCCAUUGCUUCCCGAGUUCAUAAGCUUGGAGAGAGGCCCUUUGAUCCCAUCAGUUCUAGGAGCUCGGGGAACUUGCUCUAGAAUCACCCAUGGAAAAAGCUUCUGAGCAUGAUUGGGAAGGACCUUCCGGAUUUGGUUGACUGGGAUGGGAAGACCCAUCCUGAAGUGGGUGGCACUGGUCCACAGACUGAAUCAAAAGGAGAAAGCAAGUUGAGCAACAGCAUCAAUCUCUCUCUUCUUCCUGACUGAGGAUGUCCUGUGUCCGGCUGCCUCACACUGCUGCUUCGGCUGCCAUCAUGUAUGACCACGUGACAAGUGACUUCAAACAACAGGAAUUUAUUUGGAUAAAUCUCAGAUCAAGGUUGUGCAGGGAGCUCCAGUGUUGCACCUUUCAUGAGUUGUCAUCCAGAUGGGGUGGGAUUUUCAGUGAUUCAUUUGCGUUUGAACCAACCACUCUCCUGCUGUCCUAGACUGGCUAGUGAGCUCCUGGAAUUCUCCUGUGUUGCCUGCUUUAAAAACAAACAAACAAACAAACAAAAACAAAACAUUGAUUCUGGGGCUUGAACUCUGGUCCUUAAGUUCUCAAGGUCUGAUAUGCAAGCAUUUGAAGGUCUCCAAAAAAAAUCUUCCAAGUACGCAUUCAUAACUUAAGGUCACCUGGACAACUUGGGCAUCCCGCAACAAGGCAAAGCUUAGCCUGGAUUUGCCUGAUGGAAUCUGAGAAGGAAGUAUCUGGAAGCUUGGUGCUAACCAGAGGGGCGAUGUGUCUUCCAGGAAGAUGUUUCACACAGCUCUGACAGCUCUCAGAAGCCUGGACAGCGGGUGGACUACAACACCAAAAAGGCCACGCCAGUUUGAGUGACAGUUUACAAACACUGCAUCUCUAGACUUCUUUUCAAGACUUAAGGGAAACCCAGUAGGUAAGUACUUCUACUCUUGAGCAAUCCCCACUUUUUAUAUUAAUACUGGGGGAAGCCUUGUCAACCUUGUAAGUUUCAGGAACAUCUUGAGCUUUAUGAGGUAUUGUUAUGAGCUUCUUUCUUGGAAUGUUUUAGUUGGGAGGAAAUUGAUCUACAGCACCUUCCCUUUCUUUUCCAUUUCUUUUUCCUUCUUCCCCUUUCCCACCUUUUCCUUCUCGUCCCCCUUUCUUUCUUGUCCCCUUUCUCUUCAUAUUGCAUUUUCCCCCAGGAUAUUAGUAUAUUUAUUUAGUACCUCCUAGGGAUUAUGAAUUAGGAAAGAGCUGCAGCUUCCUUUUGCCCUCCCCAUUCUUCUCUAUGAUAUUUAAUUUUUUCCCAGGACACCUAUCGCUUGCCAUGGUAUGUGCAUUCAUUAGCUUGCCCCACACAUGAGAAGGUAGCCUGAUUAGUACCUAGAGUGUCUACUUUGUUUCUGCCGUAGCCCCAGAACUUAGAACAGCAUUCAGUACAAGAAGAGAACUCAAUCAAUAGGUCUCAUGUGUUGAUUUCCAACAUUAAGCACAUUGGGCUCAAGUCAGACAUUUUAUUGGCUCCUGUGAUGGCAGAUCUUUACUGUGAGGUGAUUCAACGUGAGGUGAUUUAGGAUCAGUUUGGAAACACAUAAUCUUGGUAUGUCUGAUUUUUCAGAAUGGUUUAGCUGAGCAUGGAAGACAUACCCUAAAUAUAAAUGGCACUAUUCGGUGUGCAGGGUCUCAGACUGAAUAAAAAGGAGAAACUAACCCGAGCAACAGAAUUCAUUAGUUUUAGUUUCCUGACUAGAUUCAACAUGACCAUCUGACUGAAGCUCCUUCCAUUGUGACUUCUCUGCAACAAUGGUCUGAACUCUAAAUUGUGACCCAUGUAAAACAUUUUUUCUUGUUAUUUUUACCAGAAUGAGAAAACUAACUAAUAUAGCAACUAUAUCCAGAUGUUUAUAAGUGAAGUGUGUCUCUCUCUAGCUAAGGCAAACCCUUUACCAGAGACGAGUAAGAUAGUUUCUCCUAUCAACAUCUUAACUUGACUUUUAAGAGGACUUUUGAGUAACUGCUUCACAUGCCUUUCUGAUGGCUGUAGGAGAGAUUUACAAGAAGAAUUUGCCAUCUGCAACUGAGAAAGUUCUAGCGUGUUGGUCAUCUGUGCCCCCACGGUAAAUAAGAAAAGCUUCUGCUAGGAUGCUGGUCUCUUCUUCCCAGAGGAGAAGGGAGUUAGUAGAUGACACAGACUUCUCUGCAAGUUCUGUUUUACUCUGAAUGUUAGAUUCACAAAAGGAAACCCACAUCUUUAUGGGGGAGGUAAGGGAACAUUUGUCAGAGGGUAUUUGAAAGAUGUGUAGAGACAUGUGUAGGAGGCUAUGAUAGUUUGACUGAUAGCAUCAUUUGCUUAUCAGUGUCAAAAAUGUAUUUCAAAGAUACAAAACACCAACAUCCUCUACUAAUAAAAAUAAAUUAGGUUCAAUUAAAAUAGCUGCUGUUGUUUCUCAAAUGUAGGGCCAAAUUCCAUAAACCAAAGAUUCUUAUUAUUCCCAGAAGAAAAAAAUGAGUGAAUGUGCUACAAAAACAAUUUGCAAAACACUCAUUAGUCCAGAAGUAUCCCUGAGAAUUCUCCCUCCAGACCUCUAAUGGGCCAUGAAACCUGAAUUCAAUAUAAAAUGAUUUAACUGUCAAGUGGGUGAACUGCAUAGAAUUCUGUUGUUUUACUUUCUCAUUAUGGCAUUUGUUUUCUGCAGAGGCUGUUUUUUAUAAAUACUAUUUAUUUUACCGAAGUUCAAAGAAGCUUCUUGUUGGAAAUGGAGUUUUGCCUUCCUGGAGGAGCUGGUGUGGGUUGACCAGUUGUCUGUUUUUUCAUUGCUGCUCUUUUAUUCUCACCUUGCUCCUAUUAGAGUCUUGCUGGCUGCUUUGUACCCCUCAUACCCCAUCACUGAUGUACCCAAUGAGCUCUGUGAGUCUGCCAGCCUGCAGAAUUUUGAGAGCUUGUACAUUAGAUUCUUGCUUUCCAAUCCAUUAAUUUUGUUGUUCUAGGCCCAUUGGGAGUCCUGUUGCUGCUUGUAAGGAUAACAGAUUGCUGUGAAUGCUCUUAGCAUCUGGUACUUAGUAUGUGUGUUUUGCAGGUGCUCUGUCUCUAUACUAUACAGCAUUGCUGGACUUUUGUAUGCAUGUGCACACUGGCACAGUUUUACAAUAAACUCAUCAGAAGCAGAUAUACUUCUGUUUAUGAUUGAGUAUAUUCUCUUCCUGUAUGGUGUCCUGAGACACUCAGGUGCCCACUUAAAUCUUCUCAUGGGAAGACUCAGUUACCUCUCUGAGGAUGGUACAGAAUAUCAGAAACACUUCAUUGAGCUUGGGAUGUAGCCUUAGAUUUGAUAAACAUGGAUAAGCCUGGCAUGGUGGUACAUACAUGUAAUCACAGUAUGAGGGAGGUAGAGACAGGAAGAUCAGAAGUUCAAGGUCACACUAAGCUAUGAAGUGAUUGUGAUGUAAGCCUGGGUUUCAUGUGACCCUGUCUUAAAAAAGAAAACCCUUCUCAACUUUCUACAGAGAACAUGAAACAUCUUUUAAUGACAUGACUUACAAUUUUUUGGUUGUUUUUUGUUCUGGAAAGUUUCUAUUUUCAAUUUGACACAACCUGGAUUCUCCAAGGAAAAAGGAGCCAUGACUAAGGAAUUUCCUUGAUUAAAUUAUCCUGUGGCUGAGACAGAUAUUGGGGUUUAAGCUUCAAGCUGAAGAUCAGAAAAGCAAAGCAGUCAAGUCAUUAGCUCUUACCUCUACCUCAGACUGAAAGGCAAUCCUGGCUCCACCAAACCCCAGACUGUAAUCACAGACUGCUAUUCUCUCUUCAACAUGGCUGGAGAAUCCUGAGAAUGACUACUGAAAACCCUGCUCAUAUCUUUUAUAUCUUUCUAGUGCUGGAAUUAAAGGCAUGAGCUCUGUUACUCUUUUAGAC